GAUGAACGCUGGCGGCGUGCUUAACACAUGCAAGUCGAACGGUGAAGCAGAGCUUGCUCUGUGGAUCAGUGGCGAACGGGUGAGUAGCACGUGAGCAACCUGCCCCUGACUCUGGGAUAAGCGCUGGAAACGGCGUCUAAUACUAGAUAUGAGCUGCGACCGCAUGGUCAGCAGUUGGAAAGAUUUUUCGGUCUGGGAUGGGCUCACGGCCUAUCAGCUUGUUGGUGAGGUAAUGGCUCACCAAGGCGUCGACGGGUAGCCGGCCUGAGAGGGUGACCGGCCACACUGGGACUGAGACACGGCCCAGACUCCUACGGGAGGCAGCAGUGGGGAAUAUUGCACAAUGGGCGAAAGCCUGAUGCAGCAACGCCGCGUGAGGGAUGACGGCCUUCGGGUUGUAAACCUCUUUUAGCAGGGAAGAAGCGAAAGUGACGGUACCUGCAGAAAAAGCGCCGGCUAACUACGUG
rnacentral:rRNA from 1 species